rnacentral:tRNA from 1 species
GGGUCCAUGGUCUAGUGGCUAUGACAUCACCUUCACAUGGUGAAGAUCGUCGGUUCAAAUCCGACUGGACCCA